rnacentral:tRNA from 1 species
UGCCUCGUAGCUCAGCUGGCAGAGCAGUCGCGGUUCUGAAGCGAGGGUGGUGACCAUGCGUGGAUUCGAAUCCCGCCGGGGCCA